rnacentral:rRNA from 1 species
ACGGAGGAUGCAAGCGUUAUCCGGAUUCAUUGGGUUUAAAGGGUGCGCAGGCGGAAUGAUAAGUCAGUGGUGAAAUUCAACGGCUCAACUGUUGACCUGCCAUUGAUACUGUCAAUCUAGAGUAUAGUUGGAGUGGGCGGAAUGUGUCAUGUAGCGGUGAAAUGCUUAGAUAUGACACAUAACACCGAUCGCGAAGGCAGCUAACUAAGCUAAAACUGAUGCUCAUGCACGAAAGUGUGGUGAUCAAACAG